GACGUAGGGCGCGAGCGUUGUCCGGAAUUAUUGGGCGUAAAGGGCGCGUAGGCGGCUGCUCAAGUCGGGUGUGAAAGCCCGGGGCUCAACCCCGGAACGGCACCCGAGACUGGGCGGCUCGAGACCGGGAGAGGUGGGUGGAAUACCCAGUGUAGAGGUGAAAUUCGUAGAUAUUGGGUGGAACACCGGUGGCGAAAGCGGCUCACUGGCCCGGUUCUGACGCUGAGGCGCGAAAGCGUGGGGAGCAAACAGG
rnacentral:rRNA from 1 species